AUUGAACGCUGGCGGCAGGCCUAACACAUGCAAGUCGAGCGGAUGAAGGGAGCUUUCGCCUGGCUUCAGCUGCGGACGGGUGAGUAAUGCCUAGGAAUCUGCCUGGUAGUUGGGGAUAACGUCCGUAAACGGGAGCUAAUACCGCAUCCGUCCUGAGGUAGAAAGUGGGGGAUCUUCGGACCUCACGCUAUCAGAUGAGCCUAGGUCGGAUUAGCUAGUUGGUGGGGUAAAGGCCUACCAAGGCGACGAUCCGUAACUGGUCUGAGAGGAUGAUCAGUCACACUGGAACUGAGACACGGUCCAGACUCCUACGGGAGGCAGCAGUGGGGAAUAUUGGACAAUGGGCGAAAGCCUGAUCCAGCCAUGCCGCGUGUGUGAAGAAGGUCUUCGGAUUGUAAAGCACUUUUAGUUGGGAGGAAGAGCAGUAAGUUAAUACCUUGCUGUUUUGACGUUACCAACAGAAUAAGCCCCGGCUAACUUCGUG
rnacentral:rRNA from 1 species